AUUGAACGCUGGCGGCAUGCCUUACACAUGCAAGUCGAACGGCAGCACGGGAGCAAUCCUGGUGGCGAGUGGCGAACGGGUGAGUAAUAUAUCGGAACGUGCCCGGUCGUGGGGAUAACGUAGCGAAAGCUACGCUAAUACCGCAUACGAUCUACGGAUGAAAGCGGGGGAUCGCAAGACCUCGCGCGAUUGGAGCGGCCGAUAUCAGAUUAGGUAGUUGGUGAGGUAAAGGCUCACCAAGCCGACGAUCUGUAGCUGGUCUGAGAGGACGACCAGCCACACUGGGACUGAGACACGGCCAGACCUCCGUACGGGAGGCAGCAGGUGGGGUAAUUUUGGAACAAGUGGGCGCGAAGCCUGAUCCAGACAAUGCCGCGUGCAGGAU
rnacentral:rRNA from 1 species